rnacentral:lncRNA from 1 species
CUUUUUUUUUUUUUUUAUUUAAUAGUUGGCUGCUCUAAUGUUUCCUUCUCAUCAUUCUCGACUGAUUCCCAGCACAUUUUUAUUUUACAGGUGGAUAUUGUUCUCUGUAGUCUUUGUGUAUUAUUUUUCUUAACCUCUGGAUUCUACAGUUAGCAUGAUUCUGACUUUUUGUUUUAGAAAUCCAGCUAGAAUAACUCAAGCUGAGGGACUUGCAGUAUCAACUACUCACAGCUGAAUGUCAAGGUCUGUGCUUUAGCUGAGAGAUCAGGACAGAAGGGGUGACUGGUCCUACUUCACUUCGAGUACCUCGAUGUAGCUUUGAUGACUGCAACAGGUUAUUGCCACACAUCCAAAACCUGCCCCUUUGGAUUUUUACAGAGGCUGUGGGCAGUAUUUCAAGCUGUGCAAAAAGAGAAACUGAAAAACCAGUAGAAAUACUCACUAGUAUGACUGAGUUUAAAAUCAGGCAGUGAAAGUAACUAUAUAGGCUUAUAAUGAUCCUACAUCUGUGUUUUUUUGUCUGUAUCAGUGGUUUGAGGUUAUAAACAUAACCCAGGCCUGUCUUCUGGGUUUGUUCCUGACAUAGGACUUUUGCUCUCUUCCCUUGUCACCAGUCUGAUAGCUUGUAAGUGUGACUGCCUAUUUUUGUCUCAGUGCAGUGCAGGAAAAGCAAACAUCUGCAGCAAGAAGCAUAGUGAGGCUUUGGUGGAAGACUGUACUUUGGAAAAGCAAAUGUUCAAAAGCAGUCAUAACUGCUGCUCUGCAUGGGGUGACUCAGCUCUCUGAGCAUGGAUUUGCCAACAUAAAUGCAGUUUAACUCAGUGUUUCCAUGAAACCAAUGAACUGACAGCCAUAUUUCAAGAUCUGGUACUACCAUGUAAAAGCUUCCAUCAACUUUAGUGAACUUUUUGCUGUGGGAAGGGAUGAAUAAAUCCAGUGCAUCUGAUUUAUUAUUGCUGUGCUGCUAUGUAAGUAAGAGCAAGACACUUGCAAGCAGUGUAAGAACAUCAAGUAAGAUAAGCUCUCUGCCCCAAGGAGCUUCAAGUCUACAUGGGAGAGGAGGUCAGGCAGGAGGAGAACAGAAGUCAGAGGUAAUGUGACCAACAGAAAGACAAUUCAUACAUCCCCAGUUCAAGGCUGUCUUUCUCCAACACCCUCACAGAGCUAAUAUCCUGUCAUAAGUUACAUAUCCUUCAUGCACUAAAAUGCAACUCUGCUUUCUGGUACUUCACAACAUGAAGGAGCAUAGUAUCUGGUCUAUGUGAACAGAAGAAGAG